rnacentral:antisense_RNA from 1 species
AAGCUGCGAAGAUGGCGGAGUAAGGCGUGCCGCUGUAAACUGGCCUCUGGGCCGGGGGCGAGCAGCCCCCGGGAGGCCGAGUGCAUCUGUUGGACCGUGCGAGGAGAAGAAAAAAAAGAUCGGCCAGAGGAGAGGAACUAACCGAACAUUCUUCCUCCCUACCUUAUAGAGGGGAGUGGUCAUCUACACUAAAGCAAAGUGUCAGGCGCGUCCGUGCCAAGAGACCACCAAACAGGCUUUGUGUUCCUUAUCACAGGAAGAAAAUUUUCCUUGACCUUUAGGUGCUUUUAUAUUCAUCUCAAAAACAAAAUUCUGAACUCAGGACUUGGCAAAGUUUUGCUCUUGUCGCCCAGGCUGAAGUGCAAUGGCGCAAUCUCGGCUCACUGCAACCUCCGCCUCCCGGGUUCAAGCGAUUCUCCUGCCUCAGCCUCCUGAGAAGCUGACAUUAUAGGCACCUGCCACCACGCCCAGCUAAUUUUUGUAUUUUUAGUAGAGAUGGGGUUUCACCAUAUUGGGCAGGCUCGUCUUGAACUCCUGACCUCGUGAUCCGCCCUCCUUAGCCUCCCAAAGUGCUGAGAUUGGAGGUGUGAGCCACCGCGCCUGGCCAGUGUGUCCUUUCUUGACAGUGACAUUAUAUC